rnacentral:rRNA from 1 species
CGAAAGCCUGACGGAGCAAUACCGCGUGAGGGAGGAAGGCUCUUGGGUUGUAAACCUCUUUUCUUAGGGAAUAACACAAUGAAGGUACCUAAGGAAUAAGCAUCGGCUAACUCCGUGCCAGCAGCCGCGGUAAUACGGAGGAUGCAAGCGUUAUCCGGAAUGAUUGGGCGUAAAGAGUCCGUAGGUGGUUUAUCAAGUCUGCUGUCAAAGAAUGAGGCUCAACCUCAUCAAGGCAGUGGAAACUGAGAGACUAGAGUGCGUUCGGGGCAGAAGGAAUUCCUGGUGUAGCGGUGAAAUGCGUAGAUAUCAGGAAGAACACCGGUGGCGAAAGCGUUCUGCUAGGCCGCAACUGACACUGAGGGACGAAAGCUAGGGGAGCG